rnacentral:tRNA from 1 species
GCCCACAUGGCUCAGUAGGUAGAGCACAUCCUUGGUAAGGAUGAGGUCACCGGUUCGAAUCCGGUUGUGGGCUCCA